rnacentral:tRNA from 1 species
GCGCCAUUGGUCUAGCGGUUUAGGACGCUGCCCUCUCAAGGCAGAGACCACGGGUUCGAAUCCCGUAUGGCGUACCA